rnacentral:rRNA from 1 species
AUGCCUACGGGGGGCAGCAGUGGGGAAUAUUGCACAAUGGGGGAAACCCUGAUGCAGCAACGCCGCGUGAAGGAAGACGGUUUUCGGAUUGUAAACUUCUUUUCUUAGUGAAGAAGCAAGUGACGGUAGCUAAGGAAUAAGCAUCGGCUAACUACGUGCCAGCAGCGGCGGUAAUACGUAGGAUGCGAGCGUUAUCCGGAAUUACUGGGUGUAAAGGGAGCGCAGGCGGGAAUGCAAGUUAAAUGUGAAAUACCGCCGCUUAAACGCGGAGGUGGCU